rnacentral:lncRNA from 1 species
CAUUUCAAAGUUAGGUUUAAGGAGGUUGAAAUAUUAUGUGACAUUUCUAUUUAUUUUUAACUUCAGAAAGUCGGCUUGAUUCUCAUAUUGCCGUCGUAUCCCAUUAUUGCCGCCGUAGUAAACUAUUCUAAAAUGUCCUUGUCCAAAUACUAAAAAUAAUCUGUAUAAUUGAUUUUACUCAUAUCCAAAUCGAUAUUUAAAAUUUCCACUUAAAUAUUCUAUCUUAAGGUUAUAAAACUUUGAAAACAUAAAACUCGUAUUGUUAUAUUUGCAUGUAGCUUUGAUAUAAAGCCAGAUCAACAUACUAAUAUAAUACCAAGUUUUUAGUUCUUAAUACCAGGGUGAGAUGACAUAAGUCUGAUUUGUCAUAACUUGGAAUUAUGGGUUUUCAAUGCUCGUCUACUUCGUUAUUGAUUUGGCAUUCCGCGUCCGUAUUAAAUCGAGUGCAAAUGACACAUCUUAUGUAGAUGCACGUUUGGUACCCACAGUAUUGCAUUUUAUCUUACCUCCUAUACAUUACUAGGAAUAUGAUUGAUUAAAGCAUCCGCGUGGAGACCGUGUAUAUUCCAUAUUAGGUUAGUAGGGAGACGAGGCUUAUUUCAAUACACGGUAGUGAUUGAGUUACGACUUUGGCACUGUUUAAUUAUUUAAAAGAAUUGAAACUUCUGUUUAAUAUUGUUAUAUCAAUGUUGUUGAUAAUAAAUAGUUAUGUUGUAC